UAGGGAAUCUUCCACAAUGGCGAAAGCCUGAUGGAGCAACGCCGCGUGUGUGAUGAAGGGUUUCGGCUCGUAAAACACUGUUGUAAGAGAAGAAUGACAUUGAGAGUAACUGUUCAAUGUGUGACGGUAUCUUACUAGAAAGGAACGGCUAAAUACGUGCCAC
rnacentral:rRNA from 1 species